GGAGUAGAACAAAAAUAUCACAAUAAAGGCCAAUUUGAUAGUUAUCAGGAAAGAGUUCACAUAGCAAGCAAUCGAGGGCAUUUUUGGAAUAAGGAGAUACAAGUCCUUUUUGGUAAUUCGCAGAGGGCAGCAUUAAAAGGAGGAACGCAGGGCUGAAGUGGGGGGUCUUCUUCCCCCUGGGGGAGCCGCCGCACAGAGGGAGCUGGCUUCCUUCUUAGUUUCUUCCAUUUUUAUAGUUUAGCUUUUCCUUUGACCGUUUGGUCUCCUUCGUCUUGUAGUGGAGAGCUUUUGACUUUUCCUUGGAAUAUUUUGUGGCUACCUCUACGUGAGUCAGGAGCACUGAAGACUAAAUCAUCCAUUGUUACUUUACUUUGCUUUAUUCCUUCGAGUGAAUUGCAUUUCCCAAUUUCGGAGUUGAUGGCCGCGACUCUUGUUACAAUUUUGUGUGGAUUUUGUUCAUCAAUUAUGAACUAAUUUCCUCACUCUAGUCAAGGAACAACGAAGGCUCUGGGUCGUCUAAAAUUUGUGAG
rnacentral:lncRNA from 1 species